CCUGUCAUAGGUUUUACAAGAAUGGCUGCUAUGUCACAUGUGAGUCAGUAGGUGGCAGAAAGGAGAUAGGCUAUGUAGAUGCUCAGGAUUCUGACCUAUUGAGUCUAACAUU
rnacentral:snoRNA from 1 species